rnacentral:rRNA from 1 species
GUCGAGAAUUUUUCUCAAUGGGCGAAAGCCUGAAGGAGCGACGCCGCGUGGGGGAUGAAUGGCUUCGGCCCGUAAACCCCUGUCAUUUGCGAACAAAUUGUUUCACCUAACACGUGAAGCAUUGAUUGUAGCGGAAGAGGAAGGGACGGCUAACUCUGU